AUUGAACGCUGGCGGCAGGCCUAACACAUGCAAGUCGAACGGUAACAGGAAGCAGCUUGCUGCUUUGCUGACGAGUGGCGGACGGGUGAGUAAUGUCUGGGAAACUGCCUGAUGGAGGGGGAUAACUACUGGAAACGGUAGCUAAUACCGCAUAACGUCGCAAGACCAAAGAGGGGGACCUUAGGGCCUCUUGCCAUCGGAUGUGCCCAGAUGGGAUUAGCUAGUAGGUGGGGUAACGGCUCACCUAGGCGACGAUCCCUAGCUGGUCUGAGAGGAUGACCAGCCACACUGGAACUGAGACACGGUCCAGACUCCUACGGGAGGCAGCAGUGGGGAAUAUUGCGCAAUGGGCGCAAGCCUGAUGCAGCCAUGCCGCGUGUAUGAAGAAGGCCUUCGGGUUGUAAAGUACUUUCAGCGGGGAGGAAGGGAGUAAAGUUAAUACCUUUGCUCAUUGACGUUACCCGCAGAAGAAGCACCGGCUAACUCCGUG
rnacentral:rRNA from 1 species